GCCAUUUUAAAAAAUUAAGUGACGAGAUAAAGCAUGAUGGAGCCUAGUAUAGUUCUCGUCACUGGAGAAUGAGCGCAUGAAAGGUGUUUCCCCCUGAGGAAGUCCCCCUCCCUCCUAUGCAGGUUUGGCAGGCAGGCUCCUGCUUCAGGAGGGCGAAGGAGCUGUCCCCGUGCAUUACAUCGGGCUGCCUGGCUCACAGCGAGCAAGAGGAGGGGACGUUUUACCUACUACUGUAUACUACUACUCAGUCUCUCUGACCAGGAAUAAUAGCCCAACUUCAAGGCCUGGUUCCCAGAGAACAACUCUAACAGAGACAAGGCAGAGAGCAAACUCUCCCACAGCUCACACAGCCAUUUCUUCCUUGACCACUGACUUCCAUGAAGAACUUGCAUAACCCCAAACUAACUAACUACCAACAACAACAACAACGUGUGCUAUACCAAAGCUAAACAUUUGCUUGCACACUAGAAGGCAAACUUGGAAGACUGUGUAACAGCACCACCUCAUGAUGUGUGCCAUAACAAUAUCAUUUUCUAAGGCUUAGUCUACCCUACAGAGAUAAGUGAAUAUAAGGCAGCUUACGUCAACCUAAUCAUGUCAAUGUCUACACCAGAAUGCUGCUUCUGCCAAAGCAAGUGGCCUGCUACACUGACAUAACUCCACCUCUGCAAGAGGUAUAGUGCUUAUUUCAGUGUGAUUAAGGCAGCGUAGUGUAGUGGCUGCAUAGACUCUGCCUUACUUAGAUCUGCUGUUGGUUGUCAUUCUUGUCAGUUUCAUGGCUCCAGCUGUGAGCCCCAGGCUGCUGCUCUGAGCAGGAGGAAGCUGUGAAACUGACACGAAUGUCAAUUUCACUGCUGGUAGGUUUCCAGCAGUGAAAUUGAGCCCUUGGCUCACAGCUCAGGCUGUCACUCUGGGGAGGGUGGGUUACUCCACUAUGAGCUCUGCACUGCUGUCAGUGUCCCACAAUGCCCCACUUCAGUCAUGCAAGUGCUCUUGGUGAGGAUGUGCACCAUCAGUGGCAGGUACAAUAGGUCGGGGAGGCUAAGCCUCUCCUAACCCAGGCCAUGGCCUCGCCUAUGCUUUGCUCCAAGGUCCCGCCCUUGCUCCCCCAAAGCCGGCAGGGGCUGAACUUGGGCUGGCAGCCUGGAGCUCAAGGCUUGUCUGGCUGGCGGCCCUGAGCAGCGCAAGCCAGCCUGAGGGUUGGGCCAGUGCUUUGGCCUGCCUGGUCCCCAGGCCUGCUGGUGGCCAGGGGCAACUUGGGCCAGCCCACAGGCCCCCGGUGGCCAGGGAUGACUCAGCUGGCUGGCAGCCAGGGGUGGCUCGGGCAAGCCCAUGGCUGAGAGGUUGGAGUGGUUUGGCCAGGGCUUCUCCGGCUGGGAGGGGCCCCCAGGGCUCUGGCGGGUGAGUGGGGGAGGGGCCAAGUAGGUGGGCUAGCCUUCCCGAAGUGCGGGAGGGUUCACCCACCACCUAUGAUGUGCACUAUGGGCAGAAGUAGGGAAGUAUGAAUACCAACAGUCAAUUGACUUACUGCGGUGGCUGUAGGUCAACCUAAAUUAAAAUCGACUUAAUUUUGUAGUGUAGACAAGCCGUAAUACAAUUAUAGCUUGCAGUUUGGUGUUUUGAUGGGGAUGAGGCUUUUAAUUUGUACUGAAUAAAAUUUACCCCUACACGGAGUGCCCACUUCAGGCACUGUGUGUCAUUUAAACCAGUCAUAGGAAGGCUCACUCCUCUCGUUGAAGUCAAUAGGAGUGUGCUCAUGUAUGUUAGUUCAAAUAAUACUGCCACAGAUGCAGCCUUAGGUGGAUUCCUAGGUCAUGCAGGAUCCCUAGCAGCUACAGAAUAAAAUGCUAGACUGAUAUGGGUCAUGUCCCUUUACCACGGGAGCUUUAUGGUGAUACUGCUAACUUUAACCUCCUAAAAGAAUCAAAAUAUCUUCCUUUUUAUCACAGUCCUGGACGGGUCAUGGCAGAGGUUUUCCUUAACACUAAACUUCCACAAACACCCACAUUAGCUCUGGACACAUCACCUACUGUGCCUUUCUUUUUUUUAGCUGGCAUGACAGAAGUGUAGGGCAAGUGACUGAGAAAGUGACACACUAACUCUUGCACCCUGCAGCUGGGAGGUCCAAACAAAUGGCUUUACUGAAAGCCUCUAAUUUUCCAGAACCAACUCUGGUUCUUCAUACCUUGCAGUAGGCUCUCAACACCUUAUAUUGCUGUCCAAAAAUUUAUGGGAGGCCUACCGUGGUGCACCGAUAUAGGCCUUUGUGUGUUCCUCUUCAGUAGGACGACAUUAAUCCAAGGUAUUUUCCUCUAUCUAAUAACAAUAAGCAUUAACAGUUUAAUCUACAAAAUUCUAUAUGAAAAAACCUGAACAGACUAUUUAAAAAUAAGUUUCAUGCACAGACACAUAUGCUGUAUGUAGGUAAACACAUGUAGGGACUGUCUUUUUUUUUUUUUUUUUUUUUUAAAAACAAAAACAAAAAAACAAGGAAGGUCAAGAUUUCUUUUUGAUGGGGGGGGGGGCGGCGAGGGGUAAAGGAAUAUUUUUCCCCUGACUUGUUUUGUGUCAAAAGGCAGUUUCCCCAAGGAGCUAUACAGCAACAACAUUGAGCUUGCAUAGGAUUCACACAGGCAGACCUUCGCACCUGUUCACAGCUCCACUAACUUCAGUGGGGUUCUAUGUGGAUGUAGGGUCUGCGUGCACAGAGGCCAUUGCGAGAUCAAGGCUCAAGAUAUUAAAGCAAUUAUUAAUGUUGGUACCAGGCUUCUGUCAAGUAGAAGAUUUUGACCUGUAGUACAGAAGAGAUCCAAAAAUUUGUGUUCUUGGGGUUAAAAAGAAGUACUCAAAAUUUUUGGAAACCAAAUUGAAAUGAGGGAUCGUGUUUUGCUUUGAAGUACAGGACAUUCCCCUACAGAGUUUGCAGCACAACUAUUCCAGCACUGUGUUAGGGCACAAAGGAUCCCAAAGUGGAAGUGAAGUAGAAGCUUGAUCAUUUGACUUUCUCUAAUAAGUCUUUGUUGGGAAGUGGGUAGAAACUACUAUUUAUUUAUUUUUGUAAGCAAAUUAUGCGGGUGUUGAUUAGCAGACCAUUGUAUCAACCUUGUUGUUUUCUUAAAAAAAAAAAAAAACUUACACUACAAAAUAUUUCUAUAUUAUAGUAAACAAUGAAUGUUAAAACUACAUUUGCUAAAUAAACUAACAAUACAUCUCA